rnacentral:rRNA from 1 species
GGUUAAGCGACUAAGCGUACACGGUGGAUGCCCUGGCAGUCAGAGGCGAUGAAGGACGUGCUAAUCUGCGAUAAGCGUCGGUGAGGUGAUAUGAACCGUUAUAACCGGCGAUUUCCGAAUGGGGAAACCCAGUGUGUUUCGACACACUAUCAUUAACUGAAUCCAUAGGUUAAUGAGGCGAACCGGGGGAACUGAAACAUCUAAGUACCCCGAGGAAAAGAAAUCAACCGAGAUUCCCCCAGUAGCGGCGAGCGAACGGGGAGGAGCCCAGAGCCUGAAUCAGUGUGUGUGUUAGUGGAAGCGUCUGGAAAGGCGCGCGAUACAGGGUGACAGCCCCGUACACAAAAAUACACAUAUUGUGAGCUCGAUGAGUAGGGCGGGACACGUGGUAUCCUGUCUGAAUAUGGGGGGACCAUCCUCCAAGGCU